GCUGGGCAUGACGGCUCACACCUGUAAUCCUAACACUCUGGGAGGCUGAGGUGGGGGGAUUGCUUGAGCCCAGGAGUUCAAGACCAGCCUGGGCAACACAGCAAGACCCCAUCUCUA
ensembl:misc_RNA Metazoa_SRP Metazoan signal recognition particle RNA